CAGUCGCCGCGGGAAAACGGAGGGAGCGAGCGUUGUUCGGAAUUACUGGGCGUAAAGGGUGCGCAGGCGGCUUUGUAAGUUGGGAGUGAAAUCCCUGGGCUUAACCCAGGAAUUGCUUUCAAAACUACAAGGCUAGAGUCUCGGAGAGGUUAGCGGAAUUCCCAGUGUAGAGGUGAAAUUCGUAGAGAUGUGGAGGAACACCAGUGGCGGAGGCGACUCUCUGGUCUGUAACUGACGCUGAGGAGCGAAAGCGUGGAGAGCGAACAGGAUUAGAUACCCGUGUAGUCCCUGUCUCUUAUAC
rnacentral:rRNA from 1 species